rnacentral:tRNA from 1 species
CAUUAAGAAGCUAUCGCAGCAUUAACCUUUUAAGUUAAAGAUGAGGAAUAUCUUCCUCCUUAAUGA